rnacentral:rRNA from 1 species
AUUGAACGCUGGCGGCAGGCUUAACACAUGCAAGUCGAACGAGUGGCGGACGGGUUAGUAAUGCAUGGGACUCUAGCUUAUGGAGGAGGAUAACUACGGGAAACUGUAACUAAAACCGCGUACCAUAGGCUGAGCCCAAGUGGGAUUAGGUAGUUGGUGGGGUAAAGGCUUACCAAGCCGACGAUCUCUAGCUGGUCUGAGAGGAUGACCAGCCACACUGGAACUGAGAAACGGCCCAGACUCCGACGGGAGGCAGCAGUGGGGAAUAUUGCGCAAUGGGGGAAAGCUGACGCAGCCAUGCCGCGUGAAUGAAGAAGGCCUUCGGGUUGUAAAGUUCUUUCGGUAGCGAGGCGUUAACUACAGAAGAAGCACCGGCUAACUCCGUGCCAGCAGCCGCGGUAAUAC